ensembl:processed_transcript
AGCUGUCAGAAGGCAAGAUUCUAGGGAUGAUUGGCGUGCACUGUGUGUGCCGACUUUUCAUCCAAUUCUUCUAUUAGUUCCUAAUAAAACAUGAUAACAUUUAGAUAUGAUCAUUUGAAUCUGACAGAAAAUAAGACUUCUGAGGGUAGAAGCUGCUACAAUCACUAAAAUGUAUAAAUACCAAAACUCUACAAGAACUGCUCUCAGUAGAAAUAAAUUUACUGGAAUGUAACUCGCUUGUGAGUCUAGGAGACCAACGAAUCCUGAGGUGCUCUUCAGAUCUGCGAUUUAAAAAUGACCUCCAACAUGACAUUGCAAAAGUGGAAAAAAAAUGAUAAAACAAUGCAAAAAGAAAAUUCUUGCCUGGCAGUGAGCCUGAAGACAGCUGAUCAAAGGGGAAGAGGUACACCCACAGAUGGGAGAGAUAUGGCCUGGACAGUGGACUGCAGUGGGAGGAAGCCAUGUUUCCAGGACAUGAAAAGUGGAGUCACAGAAGGCUCACUGGGUGCUGGCAGGAGGCAGAGGGGUGUGCCCUUAAACUAACUGUAAUUGUUUUGUGUAAACACUGAAUUUGUGACCUUCUCCAAAA